rnacentral:lncRNA from 1 species
UGCGUUUUACCAAGCCCGAUGUGAAUCAAACCUCCAAGAACGUCCACACAAGCGCCUAGCUUCAACGUGUCGAUUGGGCAAGUCUCUGGCUUAGGUGGAGUUGGUGUUGGCGGUGUUACGACCGGUGGGCUUGGUGUUGGUGGCGUAACAACAGGUGGCGGUGGGCACGGUGAUGGCGGUGGCGGUGGGCACGGUGAUGGCGGCGUUACGACGGGUGGAGGCGUAUGAGUGGGUGGUUUAGGGGUGGACGGAGGUGGUUUAACAGUGGGCGGUUUCGUGGGUGGUUUCGGGGUAGACGGAGGAGGUUUAACGGUGGGCGGUUUCGUGGGUGGUUUCGGGGUGGACGGAGGUGGUUUAACGGUGGGCGGUUUCGUGGGUGGUUUCGGGGUGGGAUGAGGUUUGGUAGGGGGUUUCGGAUGUGGGUGUGGUUUGACAGUGGGCGGUUUGGUAGGGGGUUUAGGGUGUGGGUGUGGUUUGACGGUGGGUGGUUUGGGAGGUUUUACUGCCGGUGGUUUAGGCGGUUUGCUAGGAUGUUUAGGCGGUUUGUGGGGGUGAGGUGAUGGUUUAGGAGGGCUACAGUCGCAAGCGAAGGAGACGGCAAGAAAGCCAAGGAAGAGGAAGAUAAGAAAAGAGAGGUUUUGUGUACGAGACCCCAUUUUUCUAGAGUGAGGGUGUGGUUUACCCAAAGGACUGAGUAAGAAAGAUAUAUGAGUGUAUCAUUUUAUAGAAAGAUAUUAAAAUAUAUUUGCUAUAUAUAAUUUUCAAAUAUGCAUUUUGUGACUAGAUUAUUGAAACUGAAUUUCAGUUUUUGUUUUUGUUUUGAAAUCUAGAUUUUGUAGCAUGUGUUAAGUCACUUAGUUACAACUUACAAGUUGUCAUUU